rnacentral:rRNA from 1 species
UACGUAGGGUGCAAGCGUUGUCCGGAAUUAUUGGGCGUAAAGGGCUCGUAGGCGGUCCAUCGCGUCGGGAGUGAAAAGCUGGGGCUUAACCCCAGUCCUGCUUCCGAUACGGGUGGACUAGAGGUAGAUAGGGGAGAACGGAAUUCCUGGUGUAGCGGUGAAAUGCGCAGAUAUCAGGAAGAACACCCGUGGCGAAGGCGGCUCUCUGGAACGCAACUGACGCUGAGACGCGAAAGCGUGGGGAGCAAACAGG